AUGGUGGCAUGUGCCUGUGGUCCCAGCUACUUGGGAGGCUGAGGUGGGUCGUGAUCCUGCCACCACACUCCAGUGUGGGCAAAAGAGUGAGACCCUGCCCCAGAAAAAAAAGAAAAGAGAAAUUCAUUCUAGGUGCUCUUGCUGGGACCAAAUCACACACAGUGAACUUGAUUAUACCCUCAUCCUGUUUCUUAAAGUGUUUCCUUUUCUGGAAGCACGUGGGAAAAUUCUCCUAUCUUUGCUGAAAUACCAUCUACUUAGAGGCCUUCUGAAUAAGCAGAGACAGCUCAAUUUUAAUUCUGGGUUGGGCUUUCAAACCUAUUAUCUGGGCUCUUUUCUCAGCACAUUUGUUCAUAAUUAAACAUCAUUAUUACCUAGGUCUUCAAAUGGAUGUCACUGGGUUUAUUUAGCCUAUAAUAAUAAAUAUAUAAACAAUAUCAAAAUAAAUAAAUUAAGUGCAUUAUUUACACAAAGAGUUUUGCAAAUUAUUUCCUAUGAUGAAAAGUCCUUUAUGUUUCUAAUGUACUCAAACACAGCAAAGUCUAAUCCAUCAAAUAGAAAAAAGGCCUUCUGGAUCUUUGUCGGAAUGGCAUUGAGGAGAUAGUACAACGGG
rnacentral:lncRNA from 1 species